GGCUCUACUGGGUUUUCAUGCUGAUUAGAAUCUCUGGGCUGAAAAAGGGAGUGAAACCCUGUCACUUGGUCCUCCCACCACCGCCGGCUUUUCUGGCAGAGCAGCCACUGCUGUAAGAGCACUGCUUCUGGGGCUUAGUACCCUCAACUCCACUAGGGAGAGAAUGGUUCAGAAGAGCUCCUUCCUCUUUUAGGGUCAGAAUCCGAAGCGCCCCCAACGGAGCUUUUUUCUGUUUCUUUUUCCAUUUACCCGUGCUUAUUUGCCUCUUGAAUUUCAGAUUUUAGAAAUCUGUACAUUUUCCUAAAGGGGUGGGGGUAUAAAAUAAUUCUGAGUCCAAGUUAGGAACACCUCCGGCACUGAGACCCUCAAGGCUCAUCUCCAUAAGAUCAACUGGAUGAAAUGCAGUGAAAUGGCGUUUGGGGGUGUGGGCUGGGGGGAGGGUUAGAGAUGUUAUUCAUUUCGCGAGCACAUGACAUUUCCACGGGUGCUCUUAGAGUAUAAGAUGGGCGAGCAGCUCGUCUCAUUGUCCCAGAUGAAACCUCGCACCACACCGGAGAACAGGAAGUGGAGAAGAGUUUGAAAGAGAGCUUUGAUGAGGAGUUUCCCUUGUUUCUGGGCUGGCUCUGCCCAGGAGAGUGAGCCCUCCUGCUCCCCGCCCCCUCCUUCCACAGGGGACGGAGGUAGAUUCCAUUUUCUGCGGCCGAAACGCCCCAGCCUGUUACACUCUGUGCUUUAUCUCUGCAGCCAACUCAGCGCCACGAGUAACUGUGUGUCCCCUGCUGUAACACAAUGAAGAUGAUCAGCUGCACUCAUAUUACCUUAUGUCACCAAGACGGUGAAGACAAGUUUCUGAAAUGAUUUUUCAUCCAAAGCCCUGAAAUGAUUUUGGGAAAGUCGAUAUUUUAAAAGGCCAUUUUCCUGAGAUAAGAACUGAGUUUGACGUCUGGGAUGAGGAUCUUGAUCAAGAGAAACAACCUUCACACCAAAGGGGGAUGCCUUGCCUGAAAGAGUGAGCUAACUAUGUUAAAUUUAGAAAAGAACAAUGGAGUUGACUUUAGCAUGUUUUCUACUGUGAUCUCUGUUACCCAGAAACAAAUACUAAAUGACGUUAA